rnacentral:rRNA from 1 species
GAGAAGUCAAGUAAGUAAGGGCGUACGGCGGAUGCCUUGGCCCUAUCAGCCGAAGAAGGACGCGAUAAGCUGCGAAAAGCUGCGGUGAGGUGCAAGUAACCAUUGACCCGCAGAUAUCCGAAUGGAGCAAUCCGGCAGUAGAAGUACUGUCAUCCAUCGUAAGAUGGAGGGGAACCCGGUGAACUGAAACAUCUAAGUAGCCGGAGGAAAAGAAAUCAACCGAGAUACCCUAAGUAGCGGCGAGCGAACGGGGAAGAGCCUAAACCUAAACGGGAAACCGAUUAGGGGUAGAGGACUGCAGAGCAGAACCAGCGAGAAGCCAAAUCAGGUGGGAAACUGAGCCAGAGACGGUGAGAGCCCGGUAGGCGUAAUCAAAGGGAAACAGCAGAAUCCGGAGUACCACGGGGCACGAGGAACCUUGUGGGAAGCAGGGGGGACCACCCUCCAAGGCUAAAUACUGAUAGAGACCGAUAGCGCAUAGUACCGUGAGGGAACGGUGAAAAGAACCCCGGGAGGGGAAUGAAAUAGAACCUGAAACCGUAUGUCUACAAGCAGUCGAAGCUCCGUAUGAGAGCGACGGCGUGCCUAUUGAAGAAUGAACCGGCGAGUUACUGUUACCAGCGAGGUUAAGCGGAAAACGUGGAGCCGAAGCGAAAGCGAGUCUGAAAAGGGCGAAAGUUGGUAGUAGUAGACCCGAAACCACAGUGAUCUACCCAUGUCCAGGCUGAAGCACAGGUAAAAAUGUGUGGAGGGCCGAACUAGUGAGCGUUGAAAAGCUUUUAGAUGAGAUGUGGGUAGGGGUGAAAUGCCAAUCGAACGUGGAGAUAGC